AUUGGAAGUAAAAGUCGUAACAAGGUUUCCGUAGGUGAACCUGCGGAAGGAUCAUUAUUGAAUGAACUUGACUUGGUUGCUGCUGGUCUUUUCAAAGGCAUGUGCACACCUUGUCAUCUUUAUAUCUCCACCUGUGCACCUUUUGUAGACCUGGAUUCAACAUUCCGAGGCAACUCGGUCGUGAGGAAUUGCUUCACAGCUUUCCUUGUAAGUUUCCAGGCCUAUGUUUUUCAUAUACACCAUAAGAAUGUAACAGAAUGUCAUUAUUAGACUUCAUUGUCUUAUAAACUAUAUACAACUUUCAGCAACGGAUCUCUUGGCUCUCGCAUCGAUGAAGAACGCAGCGAAAUGCGAUAAGUAAUGUGAAUUGCAGAAUUCAGUGAAUCAUCGAAUCUUUGAACGCACCUUGCGCUCCUUGGUAUUCCGAGGAGCAUGCCUGUUUGAGUGUCAUUAAAUUCUCAACCUUUGUCAACUUUUUUGGUUGACCAAUGGCUUGGAUGUGGGGGUUUUGCAGGUUUCUCUUUUGAAAUCAGCUCCCCUGAAAUGUAUUAGCUGGUUGCGUUGUGUAGACCUGUCUAUUGGUGUGAUAAUUAUCUACGCCGUGGACUGUUUGCCAUUUUAGCACUGCUUCUAACUGUCUGUUCAUUCAGACGAUAUAUGACAAUUGACCUCAAAUCAGGUAG
rnacentral:rRNA from 1 species